AACCAGUACCGUGAGGGAAAGGCGAAAAGAACCCCGGCGAGGGGAGUGAAAAAGAACCUGAAACCGUGUACGUACAGGCAGUGGGAGCACAGGUUUACCUGUGUGACUGCGUACCUUUUGUAUAAUGGGUCAGCGACUUAUAUUCUGUAGCAAGGUUAACCGAAUAGGGGAGCCGGAGGGAAACCGAGUCUUAAUUGGGCGUUAAGUUGCAGGGUAUAGACCCGAAACCCGGUGAUCUAGCCAUGGGCAGGUUGAAGGUUGGGUAACACUAACUGGAGGACCGAACCGACUAAUGUUGAAAAAUUAGCGGAUGACCUGUGGC
rnacentral:misc_RNA from 1 species